rnacentral:lncRNA from 1 species
CCUAAAACAAAAUUAGCAAAUAACACAUGCACCAUAAUUGAAACAAUUUUCUUUAAAACCUUUCUUUGAAAAGAUUGAUCUCUGUAAAUUUGGCUAUCUCAAAUAACGGAAAACAUUGAUCAAACAGUGAAAACUAAGAUAUUGGAACGGUAUUUUUGUCGUAUAGCCUAAAACAAAAGUAGCAAAUAACACAUGCACCAUAAUUAAAACGAUUUUCUUUAAAACCUUUCUUUGAAAAGAUUGAUCUCUGUAAAUUUGGCUAUCUCAAAUAACGGAAAACAUUGAUCAAAAAGUGAAAACUAAGAUAUUGGUUAGAAGAAUGUUGAUACCUCAAUGAAAAUCUAAGGCUUUGUUAAGUAACAGCAUAUUGGAAGUACAAAAGUCCACCAAAAGAAGCCACAGAUGGUAAAACAAUU